rnacentral:rRNA from 1 species
AACGAACGCUGGCGGCAUGCCUAACACAUGCAAGUCGAACGAGACCUUCGGGUCUAGUGGCGCACGGGUGCGUAACGCGUGGGAAUCUGCCCUUGGGUUCGGAAUAACUCAGAGAAAUUUGAGCAAAUACCGGAUGAUGACGAAAGUCCAAAGAUUUAUCGCCCAAGGAUGAGCCCGCGUAAGAUUAGCUUGUUGGUGGGGUAAUGGCCCACCAAGGCAACGAUCUUUAGCUGGUCUGAGAGGAUGAUCAGCCACACUGGGACUGAGACACGGCCCAGACUCCUACGGGAGGCAGCAGUGGGGAAUAUUGGACAAUGGGCGAAAGCCUGAUCCAGCAAUGCCGCGUGAGUGAUGAAGGCCUUAGGGUUGUAAAGCUCUUUUACCAGGGAUGAUAAUGACAGUACCAGGAGAAUAAGCUCCGGCUAACUCCGUGCCAGCCGCCGCCGUAACAC